GGUGGAAUCCCCUGCAAUCAAAAUCAGAUGCAAAGUCUGGCUUCCGUAGGAGUCUGGACAAGGCUUACCGGCAGCUGACGUCGAGGGCGGAGCCCGGCUCCCAUCGGAGUCCGGGCGGAGUCCACUUGCGGUUGAAGUUGUUGACGGAGUCCGUAUCCCGUAGGAGUCUGGACGAAGUCUGCUUGUAGCUGUUGGAGUUGAGGAUGAAACCCGGCUCUCGUAGGAGUUCGGGCGGAGUCUCCCUGCAAUCAAAGUUAAAGGCGAAGAUCGGCUCCCGUAGGAGUCCUGACAGCUUACCAGCAGUUGACGUUGAGGAUGGAGCCCGGCUCCCAUAGGAGUCCGGGCGGAGUCCACUUGCGGUUGAAGUUGUGGAUGGAGUCCGGACGAUGUCUGCUUGUAGCUGUUGGAG
rnacentral:lncRNA from 1 species